AGCAGCGUGGCUUAGUGGAAAAAGCACAGGCUUGGAAGUCAGAGGUUGUGGGUUCUAAUCCCAGCUCUGCCA
rnacentral:tRNA from 1 species